AAAAAAAUAAAAAAAUUUGUGGACCAACUGAUGAUUGAUGAACAAAGGCACUGAAGCGUGAAAUAGCUGUGUGUGUGUGUGCACAUGUGUUUACUAAUAACUAAAAUGUAAAAUAGGAAGUGGUGGAGGGCAGUGACAUAGGAAGAGGGUUCAUAAAUCAAGUUAAGGGGUUAGACUUCAUCCUUAGAUCAUGGGAUACCACUGAAGGGAUUUGAGCAAGUAUGUUAUAUCUUCAGGUUUGCAUUUUUUGAUAGGUUACUUGGGUGCAGCCAAUACUGAAGGCUGGGGAAACUGUCAAGGCUACAAAUUAUAAGAUUCUCAUUCUAUUGCCCAGGCUGGAGCGCAGCGGGACAAUCUCGG
rnacentral:lncRNA from 1 species